GCAGGUCUGGGUUUGACACAGGAAAGAGAAGUUAGCACAGACACACCCUGCCCCAGCUCUCCACGGGAAAGGCCAAAUUGGCCUUCAAGAGAGCUCAGCUUCUCAUGCCUUCCUUGCCUCCUCCUUUUAAGUUUCUUCAGUGCUGCCCCUUGAACUCCCAUCAUUGGAUAGUCCCAGUAAAUGCUAUCCCCCAAAAGAUGAGUUGAUCGGUUUGUUUGUUUCCUCCCCAGCAUUCAUUCCCCUCUGGCAUCAGCCACAGGUUUUCUUCGGGAAGCCACGCUCCCCCAGUCUCAGCCCCUGUGGUCUGUACGGUUGUCCCACCUGUAUCUACAGAUGAGGCCAGUGACUCAGAUCUGGCCAAUUGACAGAAGAAACUGAGAAAGCUGCCUUGCAAUCAUUAGGAAGCGCCUCCUUGAGAAAGGAGCUGACAUGGAAAACAACUGAACAGAAAGAAACCAGGUUCUUGUGACAUAUUGUGAGCCCUGGCUGUUAAAGCAAGAAUUACUCUUGGGUUUUUGCUAAAGCCACUUUGGGUAGGUUCUUGCAAUUGAACGAGUAACUGAUUCAUGAGCAGCUCUGACCCUCUACCUUGGGGUUUGUCCUCUAGGUAAAUUAGGUCUUCUUUGGCGCCAAUUGUGUUACUCACCACGAGCAGCUUCAUGUUCCCUGCUGUGCAAAGGGCCCGGCUCCUGAAAGAGAAAAAAAGAGGCAGCCUUAUCACUGGAAGAGAGCCCAGGUCCUGUUGCAUAGUUGGGAAGGACACCAGGGAAGCCAGCAUGGGCUCUGGAAUCAGGGUGCCAGGCAUCUCGUACACCCUCCUGGUAAGAGUGAGAUUAGUAAAAUCUUAAGAGAGUGAUAUGGCAACAUCUAUUAACAUUAUUAUGUGGCCGUCCUCUGGCUGAAAUACUUGCCUAAAAUAAUUAUAACAAAAAUGUUUCAUUAUGUACUGUUUGUGAUCUUAAAGACCAUGAAAACAAUCCAAAUGUCCAAAUAUGUACAGACUGAAACAAUGUCUGAGAUAUUAAAGGGGGGGAGUUAUGAUACAUGUGUAUACUAUAACCCCUCUUUUGUAAAAAAAUAAAUAAAAAUGUGAGAUGCAUGUAGUAUGUUUGCAGCUGCCUAGGGGGAAUAUCAGGAAGAAUAUGCACUGAAGCAUUAAUGUAGAGGGGUGAGAUUUCAGGGCACUUCUCAUCUCGGUGGGAUAUACUUUCUUAUGAUUCAAUUUAUAGGAAAGAUGGAUGCAAAGUGCAUGAGGACAACACCUUUGCUGUGUUCACCACAAUAGCCCAGCACCUAGAGCAAGGCCAGGCCUGGAAAGUGUUGAAUGAAAGCACGGACCAGUCCAUUUCGAUGUUUUUUUUUGCAAGGAAAAGGAACCUCCAAGGCCACUGAGAAGCUAGACAUUUUAUCACUAAGCUUUUAGUUGGAAAGGACUCCCAGACCCGCAUAGCUUUACAAUACAAGGACCCAGCUGUUCCCACCAGGACCCAGAGAGCAAGCAGAGCAUGACUAAAGGCAGGCUGCACCUUGAAGUUCAGAGUGAAAUGUCCUGAUGUCUAUAAUCUACUGUGAAAUGCCUCCUAAAAUAGUAAGACAAAUAUGGCAAAAUGUUAACAAAUUUAAAUUGACAUAGUGUGUAUGUGGAUGUUUAUUAUUCUACUCUUUGUUUU